GGAUGUGCGCAGGAGCAGUUCGUCUCUGGCUGGGGUUGAUUUUUGCCGUUUGUUCCCGGAGAAGGCCACAGGCAGGUCACGGAUUUGCAGGAACAUGAUGUUGGUAGAGCACAACUCUAGAGAGCGAGAGUCAAUCUUAGGAAUAUGUGGACUGAGACCUUUCACCAGAGCUUCAGGGAAGAGACUGAGAUGAAGGAGCAGAUCCUGGACUAUUUGUGGUAGAGGAAUUACUGCUUCAUCCUGCUAGGAGAGACAAGACUUUGUUAAAGCUUGAACAGCAAGGAGGGAAUAACUGUAGAGUUCUUCACUGUAGUGCUGGAAUUGAAAGCUCAGAACUCUGCUGCUGUCUCAGAACUCUGCCUUUUCCCAAUAUAAUACAAAAGAGGAAAAGAAAGAGCUGGAAAUGACUUCUGUUCUACUUUCAGUUAGAUCCCAGGUGAGUAGAGUUUUCCUUCUAAAUACCAUCUUAUUUAUCAGAAUAUUGAUAUACUUUUU
rnacentral:lncRNA from 1 species